rnacentral:snRNA from 1 species
GUCCCUUUGGGGACAUCCGAUAAAAUUGGAAUGAUACAGAGAAGAUUAGCAUGGCCCCUGCGGAAGGAUGACACGCACAAAUUGAAAAAAAAAUGCAGUAUAU